CUACGUGCCAGCAGCCGCGGUAAUACGUAGGUCCCGAGCGUUGUCCGGAUUUAUUGGGCGUAAAGCGAGCGCAGGCGGUUUGAUAAGUCUGAAGUUAAAGGCUGUGGCUCAACCAUAGUUCGCUUUGGAAACUGUCAAACUUGAGUGCAGAAGGGGAGAGUGGAAUUCCAUGUGUAGCGGUGAAAUGCGUAGAUAUAUGGAGGAACACCGGUGGCGAAAGCGGCUCUCUGGUCUGUAACUGACGCUGAGGCUCGAAAGCGUGGGGAGCGAACAGGAUUAGAUACCCUGGUAGUCCACGCCGUAAACGAUGAGUGCUAGGUGUUGGAUCCUUUCCGGGAUUCAGUGCCGCAGCUAACGCACUAAGCACUCCGCCUGGGGAGUACGACCGCAAGGUUGAAACUCAAAGGAAUUGACGGGGGCCCGCACAAGCGGUGGAGCAUGUGGUUUAAUUCGAAGCAGCGCGAAGAACCUUACCAGGUCUUGACAUCCCGAUGCUAUUUCUAGAGAUAGAAAGU
rnacentral:rRNA from 1 species